UGGGGAAUAUUGGACAAUGGGCGAAAGCCUGAUCCAGCAAUGCCGCGUGAGUGAUGAAGGCCUUAGGGUUGUAAAGCUCUUUUACCCGGGAUGAUAAUGACAGUACCGGGAGAAUAAGCUCCGGCUAACUCCGUGCCAGCAGCCGCGGUAAUACGGAGGGGGCGAGCGUUGUUCGGAAUUACUGGGCGUAAAGCGCGCGCAGGCGGUUCUUUAAGUCAGGGGUGAAAGCCCAGAGCUCAACUCUGGAAUUGCCUUUGAAACUAGAGAACUUGGGUACGGGAGAGGUGAGUGGAAUUCCGAGUGUAGAGGUGAAAUUCGUAGAUAUUCGGAAGAACACCAGUGGCGAAGGCGGCUCACUGGCCCGUUACCGACGCUCAGGCGCGACAGCGUGGGGAGCAAA
rnacentral:rRNA from 1 species